rnacentral:lncRNA from 1 species
CAGAAUUAAUUUUAUUAGAAAAUGUUAAGAAUCAUGAAACAAAAAUGACAAUCUGAUUUGUUUACUUAGGGCCUGUAUCUUUGCAUAAAAGCUUCCAGUUGUAAAUCAGGGUUUGUAAUAAAGACCAACCUUUCCCAAGGGGUUGUACAAAGUUUAAUUUAUUCAGCUCUGAUCCCUAGUGAAGUCUAUAAGAACCAUGGGCCCACAUUAAGUGCACUGGAGUCAAAAGAGCCCACUGUAGAUACAAGAGUGCUCCUACUAGAGAGGGAGAGGUACUAAAUUUACACUGUGUUCAUUAACUAGUAAUUCCUCAAUAACAUUUUCUGGCAUAAUAUUGGAGUAAUACAAUGGUAAAUGGGGCUCAACAUUACAAUUACUACUAAAGAAACUAAUUUGAAAUGAUUUCCAGAUUCCUUAAAAUUAUUUUAAUCCUUUUUUUAAAAAAUCUGCUUUUUUAUCUUGAAAAACUUUAAAAGAAUAGCAUCAAGCUUUUUCCAGACAUUUCCACAAUAAUGAUCUUGUGUGUCCCUUGUCAUUUGUAUAGGCAGUUUGUGCUCACCAGGCAGACAAAGAGAGAAUAAAGAAAGAGCAGUCUCAGAAAACAGCAUCCCUCUGUGGCAAAUACAACUCAGAGGUUCAGACACUGGUUUGCAAGCUUCCAAGCUUUCUUCAGUUUCCAAUAGCAACUACAAAAUGUCUCGGGCUAUGGCAGACAAUGCUUCACAUUUAGGUCCCUCUUGUUGUAUGAAAGAUUGCCUCUCAGCCUCAGACUGAAGUACACAGCAGGAUCUCGAACGUGGUGGAAUUGCAGACCCUUCACAAUUCCUGGGAAUCUCUAGGCUAGGAAAGAGAAGUCACUAGCUGCUGCUGAAGAGAAACCACGUUGCUACAGCUGAAAGAGGAAAAGGAGACUGGAAUUUCAGUUUUAUAAAGUAGGUCAUUUGCUCUGAGGUUGGAUACCAGUGAUCUAGGAAUAUAAUUUUGGUCUAUCCCUAAACUUUUCUACCCACAAAAAAUGUCAGGAGUCUAUUUUAUUCUCUCUUCUGUACAAAAAAUGUGUAUGUUUGUAUGCUAGGAUAACUAUAGUAUGCUAACAUUAUUUCUAAUGGCUUAUAUUAAUUUUAACUCAAUGAUUAAGAUGAAUGUUAGAAACCCUAAGAAUAAAUAAAAGCAUCUAUUUAUGCA